rnacentral:rRNA from 1 species
UACGUAGGGGCAAGCGUUGUCCGGAUUUAUUGGGCGUAAAGAGCGUGUAGGCGGCCACACAGGUCUGCUGUGAAAACUCGAGGCUCAACCUCGAGCUGUCGGUGGAAACCGUGUGGCUAGAGUCCGGAAGAGGAGAGUGGAAUCCCGGUGUAGCGGUGAAAUGCGCAGAUAUCGGGAAGAACACCCGUGGCGAAGGCGGCUCUCUGGGACGGUACUGACGCUGAGACGCGAAAGCGUGGGGAGCGAACGAGG